rnacentral:rRNA from 1 species
UACGGGGGGGGCAAGCGUUGUUCGGAAUUACUGGGCGUAAAGGGCUCGUAGGUGGCCAACUAAGUCAGACGUGAAAUCCCUCAGCUUAACUGGGGAACUGCGUCUGAUACUGGAUGGCUUGAGUUUGGGAGAGGGAUGCGGAAUUCCAGGUGUAGCGGUGAAAUGCGUAGAUAUCUGGAGGAAUACCGGUGGCGAAGGCGGCAUCCUGGACCAUAACUGACGCUGAGGCGCGAAAGCUAGGGGAGCAAACGGG